rnacentral:rRNA from 1 species
CCUACGGGAGGCAGCAGUGAGGAAUAUUGGUCAAUGGACGAGAGUCUGAACCAGCCAAGUAGCGUGAAGGAUGACUGCCCUAUGGGUUGUAAACUUCUUUUAUAAAGGAAUAAAACGAGGCACGUGUGCCUUUUUGCAUGUACUUUAUGAAUAAGGAUCGGCUAACUCCGUGCCAGCAGCCGCGGUAAUACGGAGGAUCCGAGCGUUCUCCGGAUUUAUUGGGUUUAAAGGGAGCGUAGAUGGGUUGUUAAGUCAGUUGGAAAAGUUUGCGGCUCAACCGUAAAAUUGCAAUUGAUACUGGCAGUCUUGAGUACAGUUGAGGUAGGCGAAAUUCGUGGUGUAGCGGUGAAAUGCUUAGAUAUCACGAAGAACCCCGAUUGCGAAGGCAGCUUACUAAACUGUGACUGACAUUGAUGCUCGAAAGUGUGGGUAUCAAACAGGAUUAGAUACCCUUGUAGC